UACGGGGGGGGCAAGCGUUGUUCGGAAUUACUGGGCGUAAAGGGCGCGUAGGCGGUCUACUAAGUUGGAUGUGAAAACUCUGGGCUUAACCCAGAGCCUGCAUUCAAAACUGAUAGGCUGGAGUUCUGGAGGGGAUAGCGGAAUUCCUGGUGGAGCGGUGAAAUGCGUAGAUAUCAGGAGGAACACCGGUGGCGAAGGCGGCUAUCUGGACAGAAACUGACGCUGAGGCGCGAAAGCUAGGGGAGCAAACAGG
rnacentral:rRNA from 1 species